rnacentral:rRNA from 1 species
UACGAAGGGGGCUAGCGUUGCUCGGAAUCACUGGGCGUAAAGCGCACGUAGGCGGCUUUCUAAGUCAGGGGUGAAAUCCUGGAGCUCAACUCCAGAACUGCCUUUGAUACUGGAGAGCUAGAGUCCGGAAGAGGUGAGUGGAACUGCGAGUGUAGAGGUGAAAUUCGUAGAUAUUCGCAAGAACACCAGUGGCGAAGGCGGCUCUCUGGGACGGUACUGACGCUGAGACGCGAAAGCGUGGGGAGCGAACAGG